CUCUUAUUCAGAGCAAUGGAGACCAAGGAUCUGUGAUAUUGCGGCAACCCCCAUGAGGAAGGUGCCAACCUGAGCGAGUAACAUCGAACAAUAAGAG
rnacentral:ncRNA from 2 species